GUAUUUCUUUAGACUCCUGCAGCAGCAUUGCCACAGCUCAGGGAAAGGAUGUGGCUUCAUCAUGAGGAUUGCAACACAAAAUGUAAAUUCAACUAGCGCUAGGCUUAUGGAUUUGGGCUGGCAUAUUUGCUACAGCAGAACUCACCAAUAUCUCUGAUGUUACAAGAAUAUAACAAAAACACUGAGAACUGAGGUGGAGGUGGAGCAGCAUUUAUCUCUAAAAAAAAAAGUUUUCAAGGAACCUUGUACCAGAGGAGGGGAGCCUGCCUAUUGACGUGCCUGCAUUGGAGGACUGGAAGUAGAGACAACUUCUAGGGCAAAUAAACCCAGAAAGCUUCAAUUGGAGAGCAUGGAGACUGUUAGACCAUAGACUUUUACUGAUGAAUAGUGUUUUGCCAUAGACUAUGUACUGUUGGACCCCUGCAUUUUUACGGGGACUUUCUGUUGGGAUUUCGAAAUGUUACUCUGAAGCCCUGGGAAAAAUAACUGCUCCAAGACUCAAUAUUUCUGAAUCAUUCAGUUACGAUGUUGUUUUUAAGAAUUGUACAUGGAAUGUACAAUCUCCCCACUCAGCCUUGGGCACAAAAAUUCAUGAUGAGUUUGGAAUGGUGUUUGUUGUAUUUGAAAAAGAAAUUUCACUGCACUGAUUUCCUUCAUUAUUAGUGAUUCAAUACUAAGAAUAGAAAUCUAUUAUUCUUAUUACUCCAUGUUCGUGUUCCUCACUGGAGUUUAUGUAAACAGGUCCCCAUGUAUAUGUGUAGAAACCUAUUGAAUUCUGUGUGAACUAAGUGCUGGGAUGUAUUUUUUCCUGCAAAUGCAAUUUGCUUGAAAGGGCAAGAUGCUGACUUUGACUUUCACAUAUAAAUCUCAUUUCCCAUUUUGUAUAUGUUCAUGUUAUUCUCAGAUUCUUUCACCCUUUCAGCAUCAGUGCCCAGUUCCGGGCUCCUCUUUGGAUCCUAAACAAGAUAGGAUUUCCGUUCAGUAUGUAAGAUACAUCUACUCCUUAAUGUUUGGGUGUUUGCUAAGCACAAAACUAAUCUUUUAUAUUUACUAAAUGAUUUGCAUGAGAACUUUACUUUCCUUAUUUUUUUUCCUGUGGUUUUUGUUGUCUGUUUAGUUUUGAGUGUUUUUUGUAGGCAGAAUGAGAAUUAAGAAAAUUUCCGUGAUUUAAUUUUCAUCACUUGUUGGCAAAAAAAAAUGCACAGUGUAUAUUCUUUCUGUGAAAUUAAUCUCUCAGAAAAAUUCUCACCUGGUGUAUCUUUGUGGACCAGGCAUCAAAAGGAUUCGCCAGGCAGGUUCAUGGCACUGUCUGUCAGGCUCAUCAAAAUUAUUACUGCUUUGCCCAGUACAUGGGCCUACUACCUUGAUGCUUUGAAAGUGUGGGCUUCUUGAUGGAAUGGGUCAUCCAUGGAAAGAAGAGCAACCAUGAUGCUCUGAGAAUGUCAGAUGGACCUACAACCUUCAGAUAAACAUAGAACCAUACACUGGUUUGAGGUGGAAGGAACCUUAAAGACUAUGUUGUUCCAGCUUCUCUGCCAUGGGUAAGGACAUCUUCUACUAGACCAGGUUGCUCAAAGCCUCAUCCAACCUGACCUGGAACACUUACAGGAAUGGGACAAAUGUGUCCUCUGUGUGCUCAAGGACAUAUAGAAAAACAUCAGCAGUACCCUAAAUUUGGGCAUUGCUACUACAGGUAGCUUACAGGUAGCUUACAGGUAGCUGGCCUCCUGGCAGCAGCACUUUGUUGACUCCUGUUGGCAAGCAAGGAGUGCAAAGAGGAGCAUGUCUGGUUGAAUUUCCUUGUUACUUUGGUGUGCCUCAGGGUGCUGCUGUGAAAAAGCAAUUCCCUACCAGAACCAAGGAGCAGUUUUGAACUUACAGUUAACAGAAAUCAAAUUACAAAGGUCAAUAUUAAAAGAAAGAGUGCAUAAAAUAUUCAGAAUCAUGAAGAGAAAUGUUUGGGCAGCCAAAUUUGCCUGAUGGAUCUGAGCUUACCUUUGGUGAAUGAUGCUGCCCUGAAAUAGCUGAUAGGGGUGUGCAAGCAGAUACUCAGGCACCGUGUUUUUUUUCUUGGGAGUUUGUUCCGUUGGGUUUUUUUGUUGUUGUUGUGAAGGAGUAGGAGAGAUUUUGGUAAGUAUUUCAUCCCCUGAUCCUAUGCAUGACUAAACUGCUUCUAAUGGAGCUGAUGCACUUCGGGGCCUGCUGUGAGAUGGUAUAGUCCAAUAGAGCAGCAAACACAGCUGGUGAGAAUGACUGUUUAUAGAAAAUUAAGAUAAAUCUAGAACUGUAAGAUUUGUCCUCUAGCAAGGUACUUGAGAUACCUUGUGAGAAAGCAUGGGGAAAUGGUAAAGUGAAAAUGAAGAUGACUGAGGAAACUACACCAGCCUUCCCAGGAAAUGGGAAUGGUCUCUGUGGGUGUCACACAUGUGUCAGUAUCCUUGAAGCAGCCUGCCAUCAUUGAUCAGAUCAAUCUCUAUUCAGAAGAUGCAAAAAACCUUCUGUAAAAUCUAAAAGAGGGAAGUUAACUUUUUUUAUAUUAUAAUGGAUGGGAAAGAUUUUGGGUAAAGGUUGAAAAAAAGCAAUUGUUUCUUGUGUGUGACCUAUGGAAGCAAAAGACUCAGUGGAAGAGUAGAGUCAGAACACAAUACAACAUUCCUUCAUAAAACAGUUUUCUGUACAUUUGAUUAAAUAUAUUUUUAUAUUGCUGAAAUACACGUUACACUGCUAUAAACCUUACACAGUUGAGAUGUCUGUACUGUUUCACAUUUAUCUUUCCUAAGCUUAUGCUAGACUUUUACCAGUCUUCUGCACAGCAACACUUUUAUUGGGUUGGCUUAAACAGUUCAUAAGGCUUUAUUUAUCACUCAUUUUAUGCUAAAGCAAAGGACCUACUCUCAUUGUUUUGUUUUCCAUUUGUUGGUGUAGCUUCACUAAAAUUGUUACUUGCAUUAGGUUUAUAAAAAGAUUAAGAACUGAACUUCAACUUGUAGGGAAUAAUGUGUGUGUAAUAGUUCAUGUAUCUUCAAUGAAUUUUCUAAAUUUGUUGAAGCACUGAA